rnacentral:tRNA from 1 species
GGUUGUGUAGCUCAGUUGGUUAGAGCACUUCGUUCACAUCGAAGGGGUCGUAAGUUCGAGUCUUAUCACAACCACCA